rnacentral:lncRNA from 1 species
CCUGGAGACUUUUGGGAAGAACAAGGAGGAGUCCUGGGAGGGAUAAAACUGCCCCUCACCUUCUCCAGCUUCACCCUGCACUCACCACACCUCAGAGGAAGAUGAAGGCCGCAGUGCUCAGCGUGGCCCUGCUCUUCACCAUCCUGCUGUGCACCCCGGAAGAUGCUCAGGCACUUUGGGAAGAAGGUGGAAAAAAUGUGCGGGAGGUACGGUUUCUCAAAUUCAGGAAAGUGAAGAGGGCCGAG